UACGGGGGGAGCAAGCGUUGUUCGGAUUUACUGGGCGUAAAGGGCGCGUAGGCGGCCAGCACAAGUCAGUUGUGAAAUCUCCGAGCUUAACUCGGAAAGGUCAACUGAUACUGUGCGGCUAGAGUGCGGAAGGGGCAACUGGAAUUCUCGGUGUAGCGGUGAAAUGCGUAGAUAUCGAGAGGAACACCUGCGGCGAGGGCGGGUUGCUGGGCAUUAACUGACGCUGAGGAGCGAAAGCAUGGGGAGCGAACAGG
rnacentral:rRNA from 1 species